rnacentral:tRNA from 1 species
UCCCUGGUGGCUCAGACAGUAAAGCACCUGUCUGCAGUGCAGGAGACCCGAGUUUGAUCCCUGGUUUGGGAC